rnacentral:rRNA from 1 species
GACGAACGCUGGCGGCGUGCUUAACACAUGCAAGUCGAACGGAAAGGCCCUGCUUGCAGGGUACUCGAGUGGCGAACGGGUGAGUAACACGUGGGUGAUCUGCCCUGCACUUCGGGAUAAGCCUGGGCAACUGGGUCUAAUACCGGAUAGGAGCCAUUUUUAGUGUGAUGGUUGGAAAGUUUUUUCGGUGUAGGAUGAGCUCGCGGCCUAUCAGCUUGUUGGUGGGGUAAUGGCCUACCAAGGCGGCGACGGGUAGCCGGCCUGAGAGGGUGGACGGCCACAUUGGGACUUAGAUACGGCCCAGACUCCUACGGGAGGCAGCAGUGGGGAAGAUUGCACAAUGGGCGCAAGCCUGAUGCAGCGACGCCGCGUGGGGGAUGACGGCCUUCGGGUUGUAAACUCCUUUCGCUAGGGACGAAGCUUUUUGUGACGGUACCUAGAUAAGAAGCACCGGCUAACUACGUG